rnacentral:misc_RNA from 1 species
GAUGAAGAACGUAGCGAAAUGCGAUAAGUAAUGUGAAUUGCAGAACUCAGUGAAUCAUCGAAUCUUUGAACGCACAUUGCGCCCGCUAGUAUUCUGGCGGGCAUGCCUGUUCGAGCGUCAUUUCAACCAUCAAGCCCUAGGCUUGCGUUGGAGCCCUGCGGCUGCCGCAGGCUCCCAAAUCCAGUGGCGGGCUCGUCGUCGUACCGAGUGCAGUAAACAUCCUCGCUCAGGGAACGUGACGGGUUCUUGCCGUGAAACCCCCCACAUAUCAAGGUUGACCUCGGAUCAGGUAGGAAUACCCGCUGAACUUAAGCAUAUCAAUAAGCGGAGGA